rnacentral:rRNA from 1 species
UUUAAACUUCUACACCUAAAUUUAUAUCUUAAUCCAACAUCGAGGUCGCAAUCAAUUUUAUCAAUAAGAACUCUCCAAAAUUAUUACGCUGUUAUCCCUAAAGUAACUUAUUUUAUUAAUCAUUAAAAAUGGAUCAUUUAAAUCAUUAAUUAAUGAAAAUAUUAUUAAAAGUUUUAUAAAUUUUAAUAUCACCCCAAUAAAAUAAAUAUUUUAUUAAUAUAAAAUAACUAUAUAAUUAUAUUAAUAAAUUAUUAUAAAGAUUUAUAGGGUCUUCUCGUCUUUUAAUUUAAUUUUAGCUUUUUAACUAAAAUAUAAAAUUCAAAUAUAAUUUUUAAAUGAAACAGCUUAUAUUUCGUCCAACCAUUCAUUCCAGCUUUCAAUUAAAAAACUAAUUAUUAUGCUACCUUUGCACAGUUAAUAUACUGCGGCCAUUUAAAUUAUCAGUGGGCAGGUUAAACUUUAAAAUAAUUCUCAAAAAGACAUGUUUUU